rnacentral:rRNA from 1 species
AUUGAACGCUGGCGGAAUGCUUUACACAUGCAAGUCGAACGGCAGCAUAGGUGCUUGCACCUGAUGGCGAGUGGCGAACGGGUGAGUAAUACAUCGGAACGUGCCCAGUCGUGGGGGAUAACGUAGCGAAAGUUACGCUAAUACCGCAUACGAUCUAAGGAUGAAAGCGGGGGACCGUAAGGCCUCGCGCGAUUGGAGCGGCCGAUGUCAGAUUAGGUAGUUGGUGAGGUAAAGGCUCACCAAGCCGACGAUCUGUAGCUGGUCUGAGAGGACGACCAGCCACACUGGGACUGAGACACGGCCCAGACUCCUACGGGAGGCAGCAGUGGGGAAUUUUGGACAAUGGACGCAAGUCUGAUCCAGCCAUUCCGCGUGCAGGACGAAGGCCUUCGGGUUGUAAACUGCUUUUGUACGGAACGAAAAAGCUCUUACUAAUACUAGGAGUCCAUGACGGUACCGUAAGAAUAAGCACCGGCUAACUACGUGCCAGCAGCCGCCGUAA